UGGGGAAUAUUGGACAAUGGGCGCAAGCCUGAUCCAGCCAUGCCGCGUGAGUGAUGAAGGCCCUAGGGUAGUAAAGCUCUUUCACCGGUGAAGAUAAUGACGGUAACCGGAGAAGAAGCCCCGGCUAACUUCGUGCCAGCAGCCGCGGUAAUACGAAGGGGGCUAGCGUUGUUCGGAUUUACUGGGCGUAAAGUGCACGUAGGCGGACUUUUAAGUCAGGGGUGAAAUCCCGGGGCUCAACCCCGGAACUGCCUUUGAUACUGGAAGUCUUGAGUAUGGUAGAGGUGAGUGGAAUUCCGAGUGUAGAGGUGAAAUUCGUAGAUAUUCGGAGGAACACCAGUGGCGAAGGCGGCUCACUGGACCAUUACUGACGCUGAGGUGCGAAAGCGUGGGGAGCAAACAGG
rnacentral:rRNA from 1 species